rnacentral:rRNA from 1 species
UGUAUAAUGGGUCAGCGACUUAUAUUCUGUAGCAAGGUUAACCGAAUAGGGGAGCCGAAGGGAAACCGAGUCUUAACUGGGCGUUAAGUUGCAGGGUAUAGACCCGAAACCCGGUGAUCUAGCCAUGGGCAGGUUGAAGGUUGGGUAACACUAACUGGAGGACCGAACCGACUAAUGUUGAAAAAUUAGCGGAUGACUUGUGGCUGGGGGUGAAAGGCCAAUCAAACCGGGAGAUAGCUGGUUCUCCCCGAAAGCUAUUUAGGUAGCGCCUCGUGAAUUCAUCUCCGGGGGUAGAGCACUGUUUCGGCAAGGGGGUCAUCCCGACUUACCAACCCGAUGCAAACUGCGAAUACCGGAGAAUGUUAUCACGGGAGACACACGGCGGGUGCUAACGUCCGUCGUGAAGAGGGAAACAACCCAGACCGCCAGCUAAGGUCCCAAAGUCAUGGUUAAGUGGGAAACGAUGUGGGAAGGCCCAGACAGCCAGGAUGUUGGCUUAGAAGCAGCCAUCAUUUAAAGAAAGCGUAAUAGCUCACUGGUCGAGUCGGCCUGCGCGGAAGAUGUAACGGGGCUAAACCAUGCACCGAAGCUGCGGCAGCGACGCUUAUGCGUUGUUGGGUAGGGGAGCGUUCUGUAAGCCUGCGAAGGUGUGCUGUGAGGCAUGCUGGAGGUAUCAGAAGUGCGAAUGCUGACAUAAGUAACGAUAAAGCGGGUGAAAAGCCCGCUCGCCGGAAGACCAAGGGUUCCUGUCCAACGUUAAUCGGGGCAGGGUGAGUCGACCCCUAAGGCGAG